GACGUAGGGCGCGAGCGUUGUCCGGAUUUAUUGGGCGUAAAGAGCGCGCAGGCGGUCGUUCAAGUCGCGUGUGAAAGCCCCCGGCUCAACUGGGGAGGGUCACGCGAUACUGAUCGACUCGAAGGCAGGAGAGGGUAGUGGAAUUCCCGGUGUAGUGGUGAAAUGCGUAGAUAUCGGGAGGAACACCAGUGGCGAAGGCGACUACCUGGCCUGUUUCUUGACGCUGAGGCGCGAAAGCCAGGGGAGCAAACGGG
rnacentral:rRNA from 1 species